GUAUCAUGGCUCAGGAUGAACGCUAGCUACAGGCUUAACACAUGCAAGUCGAGGGGAAACGACAUCGAAAGCUUGCUUUUGAUGGGCGUCGACCGGCGCACGGGUGAGUAACGCGUAUCCAACCUGCCUACCACUUGGGGAUAACCUUGCGAAAGUAAGACUAAUACCCAAUGACAUCCCACGAAGACAUCUGAAUGGGAUUAAAGAUUUAUCGGUGAUGGAUGGGGAUGCGUCUGAUUAG
rnacentral:rRNA from 1 species